AUGAAUUUAUCCCGUGAGCAGGUUGUUCUGAUGACGGUGACGUUGUGGUCAAUAUGGCAUGCGAGAUGCAAGGCGAUACAUGAAUCAAUUCUCCAGAGCCCCCAGGAUACUCACAGCUUCAUUGCCAGAUUUAUUGAUGAACUCGGCAUUAUCAGGAACAGGCAGGCGCAUACGCAUGCAAGAGCUGCCCCCCGGGUCACUCAACAGCCAAAGAAACCGCCCACGGGUUUCUGCAAAAUUCACGUCGAUGCGGGUGUCCAAGUGGGACAACGAGGAGCCGCAGCUGCUGUAUGUAGAGACAGGGGAGGAAACUACAUGGGGAGUGCAGCACUAGUAAUUGAAGGAGUUCAUGAUCCAGCAACACUUGAAGCAAUAGCUUGCCGAGAAGCUCUCUCCCUAGCAGAAGACCUGGGCAUACAGCAAUUGGUGGUGGCCUCUGACUGCCAGCGGGUUGUCUCUGAUAUCUCCGGAGGUGCACGGGGUGCAUAUGGUGCAAUUGUGACUGAAAUAAACCUUAGAGCUGCUACUUUUAAUUGUAAUUUUUCGUUUGAGUCUCGUGCCGUUAAUCAUGAGGCACAUAGUCUAGCCAAGUUUGCGAUAUCUAGAGGUUCGGGUCACCACGUCUGGUUGGGUGUACCUCAUGACCAAAUAUGUAUCCCACUCCAUGUGGUUUUUGCUGAAUAA
rnacentral:rRNA from 1 species